ACGGAGAUCAUGAAGACGGAGAAGAUCAUGCACCUGCUGCUCUGGGGGCCAAACUGACCCACCCCGCCGGCACGCACGCAUGUGUCUCUCCUCCUCCUCCUCUGCUCCCGGAAGCUAGCUAGCUUUUUGCAUUGUACUGUACAAACCAUGAUGGGCUAUGCCUGGCAACUUGGCAUACUUGUUUAUUUAUUUCUGUUUCUCUUGUUUGGCAAGCUGCUCAAUGUUCUCAUUAUUUGAUCUGCUUACUCCACAACUUGGAUGAUCAUAGUGCCUGGCACUGGCAGCCUGUGUUUUGCAUUAGGUUUUAGGCCUCAUUUGAUUCAAAGAAAAUUCAUAGGUUUUUUAAGGAUUCUAUUUAUAUAGGAAUUUUCUUAUAAAAUCCUUUGAAUCAAAGAAAUAAACCCUAUGAAAUCCUAUAAAAUUCCUGUGGAAUGCCUUUUCCCCUAUAAGUUUUGGAGGAAAUUUAACAAGACGUAGAAUCUCAUAGAAAAAAUCAUGUGAGUCUUUAUCUCUCUUCAAAUUCAUGUGUUUUUCCUGUGGUCCAAUCAAACGGUUAUUUUUUUCGUUUUUCAUGUGUUUUGUAAUUUUUUGUUUUACACUUACAUUUCAUUUCUGAC
rnacentral:lncRNA from 1 species